GUGUCAGCCGCCGCGGUAAUACGAAGGACCCGAGCGUUAUCCGGAUUUAUUGGGUUUAAAGGGUGCGUAGGCGGAAUAGUAAGUCAGUGGUGAAAGCCUGUUGCUUAACAACAGAACUGCCAUCGAUACUGCUAAUCUUGAGUACAUAUGAUGUGGGCGGAAUGUGCCAUGUAGCGGUGAAAUGCUUAGAUAUGGCACAGAACACCGAUUGCGAAGGCAGCUCACAAAACUGUUACUGACGCUGAGGCACGAAAGCGUGGGGAUCAAACAGGAUUAGAAACCCUGGUAGUCC
rnacentral:rRNA from 1 species